GAUGAACGCUGGCGGCGUGCCUAAUACAUGCAAGUAGAACGCUGAAGGAGGAGCUUGCUCUUCUGGAUGAGUUGCGAACGGGUGAGUAACGCGUAGGUAACCUGCCUGGUAGCGGGGGAUAACUAUUGGAAACGAUAGCUAAUACCGCAUGACAACAGUUAUUGCAUGAUAACUGUUUAAAAGGGGCAACUGCUCCACUACCAGAUGGACCUGCGUUGUAUUAGCUAGUUGGUGAGGUAACGGCUCACCAAGGCGACGAUACAUAGCCGACCUGAGAGGGGGAUCGGCCACACUGGGACUGAGACACGGCCCAGACUCCUACGGGAGGCAGCAGUAGGGAAUCUUCGGCAAUGGACGGAAGUCUGACCGAGCAACGCCGCGUGAGUGAAGAAGGGUUUCGGAUCGUAAAGCUCUGUUGUAAGAGAAGAACGAGGGUGAGAGUGGAAAGUUCACACUGUGACGGUAGCUUACCAGAAAGAGACGGCUAACUACGUG
rnacentral:rRNA from 1 species